rnacentral:misc_RNA from 1 species
UACGGGGAGAGCAGCAGUGAGGGAAUUUUGGACAAUGAGGAAGCCUGAUCCAGCCAUCCCGCGUGUGCGAUGAAGGCCUUCGGGUUGUAAAGCACUUUGCUUUGAAAGAAAACGGCGCAGGAUAUGCCCGUGCAGCAAACUGAUACCUGCAGAAUAGCACCGGCUAACUACGUGCCGCAGCAGCCGCAGUAAUACGGCAAGUGCAAGCGUUAAUCAGGUUACUGGGCAUCAUUACGCAGCAGGCGGUUCGGAAAGAAGAUGUGAAAAUCCCAGAGCUUAACUUUGGGGCACGGUACGCUGGCGUGAAGUGUAUCAAGGAGGGGUGGAAUUCGCGUGCAGCAGUGAAAUGCGUAGAUAUGCGGAGGAACACCGAUGGCGAAGGCAGCCUCCCUGGGAUAACACAUGCUCGCUGAAAGCGUGAGGGGAGCAAACAGGAUUAGAUACCCCGUAGU